AUGCGCAUUCACAUGCGUGGCAUCCGUCUCUGGGGUGUUCUUUCUGGCGAGGUCUGCUGUCCGCCACGUACGGUUCCUCCGGUGGCCCCUACUCCGCCGACUCCACUGGUUCUUCCUACGGAUGCUAAUCAGGCCGCCAAGGAUGCGGCUAAGCUUGCUGAUGAGGCUGCUGAUCGUGCCUAUGAUGAGAGGGCUUUGGCUUAUGAGGAGGCUCUUCAGACGUAUCAUGGUGCUUUGUCUGUUUACACUCAGUGGCUUGAUGAUGAUGCUCGUGCUGCAGCUGUUCUCACUGCUAGUGUUCUGCCUCAGUUUGCUUCUGAGUUUCUGGGUCUUCCUACUGUCUUCCAGAUGUGGACCUGCCUUCGUCAGCGCUAUGAGCCCUCUGGUGAUGCCUUAUAUCUUUCUGUGGUUCGUCAGGAGCAUGCUCUUCAGCAGGGUGACUCUACUGUUGAUGACUUUUAUGCCCAGAGUUCUGCUAUCUGGCGCCAGCUUGAUUCUCUCCGCAGUGCUGGUUGUCGUACUUGCCCCUGCUGCCAGGCUGUCCAAGCCGAUUUGGAGUUUCAUCGCGUCUACGAGUUCCUGUCUCGGCUCCGUAAGGAGUUUGAGCCCCGGCGUGCUCAGUUGUUUGCUCGUGGCCGUAUUUCUCUCAUGGAGGCGCUUUCAGAGAUUCGUGCUGAGGAGACUCGCCUACGUGGUGCUGGUUUGCUGGAGGUUCCCUCUGUGCUCGCUACUCGGGUUUCUUCCACUCCACCUGCUGCACAGCCCCAUUCUCGCUCGAGUGCUCCGCCGCUCUUGCCCACUCCUUCUGGAGGCUCAGGUCGGCCCCGUUCACAUUGUGACUACUGCAACAAUGAUGGUCAUAUUGAGUCCCAGUGCUACACAAAGCGGAAACACCUGCGCAAGGCGCGAUCAUCCUCCUCCGGGACUUCGUCAUCUCCCUCGCCAGCUUCAGCCAUUGCUUUGACUGAGCAGGAUAUUCUGAGACUUAAGCGUCUGCUCGCGGCUUCAGGUUCUUCCUCGACGGGUACUGCUGGUUCUGUGACUGAUGCUUCCCGCACUGAGCACCCGCCCUCUACACAGUCAGGUACAUCCCCAUGGGUUCUGGAUUCUGGAGCUUCUUUUCAUAUGUCUUCUCAUUCUUCCGCUUUGUCUUCUCUUCGCUCGCUGGAUUCUCCUGUUCAUGUCUUCACUGCUGAUGGUACUCCACUUUCUGUUGCUAGUAGAGGCCAUCUUUCCACUCCUUAUUCUGUUCCUGAUGUUGCUCAUGUUCCUCGACUUACCAUGAAUCUGUUUUCUGCCGGUCAACUUACUGAUUCUGGUUGUCGUGUCAUCCUUGAUGUUGACUCUUGUUCUGUCCAAGAUCGUCGCACGCACACUCUGGUUGGGGCUGGCCCUCGCCGCCGUGAUUCUCAGGGUCUUUGGGAGUUGGACUGGCUUCAUGUUCCUUCCGCUGCCACCACCAUCGCCAGUCCCUCCGCUGUUGUCGCCUCUGUUACUGGUUCCUUCAAGCAGUGGCAUCAUCGACUUGGUCAUCUGUGUGGUUCUCGGUUAUCGUCUUUAGUUCGUCGAGGUCUUCUGGGGUCUGUCUCAGGAGAUGUCUCUUUAGAGUGUCAGGGUUGUCGUCUUGGCAAGCAGAUUCAGUUACCAUAUUCCCAUAGUGAGUCAGUGUCUAAGCGUCCUUUCGAUUUAGUCCAUUCUGAUGUAUGGGGUCCGGCUCCUUUCGCUUCGAAAGGUGGUCAUAAAUACUAUAUUAUUUUCAUCGAUGAUUUUUCUCGUUACACAUGGCUUUAUUUCAUGACUUCACGUAGUGAGGUGUUGUCUAUUUACAAGCGUUUUGCUGCCAUGGUUCAUACUCAGUUCUCUUCACCCAUUCGUGUUUUUCGUGCUGACUCCGCUGGUGAGUAUAUCUCUAAGAUGUUGCGUGGUGUCCUUGCUGAGCAGGGUACUCUUGCCCAGUUCUCUUGUCCUGGUGCUCAUGCUCAGAAUGGCGUGUCUGAGCGCAAGCAUCGUCACCUUCUUGAGACGGCUCGUGCCAUGAUGAUCGCCGCCUCUCUUCCGCCUCAUUUUUGGGCCGAGGCUAUCUCCACUUCCGUCUAUCUCAUCAACCUUCAGCCAUCUGCUGCUUUGCAGGGUGGUGUUCCUUUUGAGCGUCUGUUUGAUCGUCCUCCCGAUUAUUCGAUGCUUCGCUUGUUUGGUUGUGUUUGCUAUGUUCUUCUUGCCCCUCGCGAACGCACCAAACUGACCGCUCAGUCUGUUGAGUGUGUCUUCUUAGGCUACAGUGAUGAGCAUAAGGGCUAUCGUUGUUGGGAUCCUGUCGGUCGUCGGAUGCGUAUCUCUCGAGACGUGACUUUUGAUGAGUCUCGUCCUUUUUACCCACGCUCAUCUUCCUCGUUUUUUUCAGUGGAGGAUAUCUCUUUCCUCACUUUUCCUGACUCCCCUAUCACUCCCGUCGCGCCUGUGCCUAUUCGUUCCACUCCCUCUGCUUCUCCACCCCUUGUUGAUUCGCCGCCACCAUCUUCCCCGGUCUCCUCACCUCGCAUGUCACUGGAUUCUACACCUUCAUCUCCGGUGGCUUCUUCGUCGCCACCCCCUGAUUCUACCUUGGUGAUUCCUCCUUCUUUUGUUCCAUCUCUUCCUCAGCAUUACACUCGUCGUUCACGACCUGUGGAUGCUUCCUUGGAUGAGUCGUCCUCUUCCUCUCAGCCUACUUAUGGCUUGCGUUCUCGUCCUCGUCCGCCUAUUGAUCGCUUUGGAUUUCCCACCGCUGGUGCUGCUGUUCUUGAGCCGACUUCUUACCGUCAGGCUGUUGUUCAUCCUGAAUGGCAGUUUGCGAUGGCAGAGGAGAUUGCUGCUCUUGAACGCACUGGUACCUGGGAUCUUGUUUCUCUUCCUCCCGGAGUCCGUCCCAUCACUUGUAAGUGGGUCUACAAGGUUAAGACUCGCUCUGAUGGUUCUCUUGAGCGUCACAAAGCUCGUCUCGUGGCUCGUGGUUUUCAGCAGGAGCAUGGUCGUGAUUAUGACGAGACUUUUGCUCCUGUGGCCCAUAUGACCACUAUUCGUACACUUCUUGCCGUUGCCUCUGCACGCAACUGGUCUAUAUCUCAGCUUGAUGUUAAGAAUGCCUUUCUUAAUGGUGAGCUGCGUGAGGAGGUGUACAUGCAGCCACCACCUGGGUAUUCUGUUCCUGAUGGCAUGGUGUGUCGUCUUCGUCGCUCUCUCUAUGGCCUUAAGCAAGCCCCUCGCGCCUGGUUUGAGCGUUUUGCUUCUGUGGUCACUACUGCUGGUUUUUCAGCAAGUGCUCAUGAUCCCGCAUUGUUUAUUCACCUUUCUCCUCGUGGCCGGACUCUUCUUCUUCUCUAUGUUGAUGAUAUGGUCAUCACUGGGGAUGACCCCGAGUAUAUUGCCUUUGUAAAGGCUCGUCUUAGUGAGCAGUUUCUUAUGUCUGAUCUUGGACCUCUUCGCUACUUUCUUGGGAUUGAAGUCUCUUCUACCUCUGAUGGCUUUUUUAUAUCUCAGGAAAAGUAUAUCCAGGAUCUUCUUGCUCGUGCUGCUCUUUCCGACGAGCGCACUGUUGCGACUCCUAUGGAGCUCAAUGUUCACCUCCGUGCUACUGAUGGUGAUCCUCUCCCUGACCCGACGCGUUAUCGUCAUCUCGUUGGCAGUCUAGUCUAUCUAGCUGUCACUCGUUCGGACAUCUCUUAUCCGGUUCAUAUUCUGAGUCAGUUUGUCUCUGCUCCCACAUCGGUUCAUUAUAGUCAUCUCCUUCGUGUUCUCCGAUAUAUUCGGGGCACGAUCUCUCACCGUCUCUUCUUUCCUAGCUCCAGUUCUUUACAGCUUCAGGCCUAUGCGGAUGCUACGUGGGCUAGUGAUCCUUCUGAUCGCCGUUCGCUUUCUGCUUACUGUGUUUUUCUUGGCGGUUCUCUCAUUGCCUGGAAGACGAAGAAACAGAUUGCAGUUUCCCGUUCGAGUGCUGAGGCUGAGUUGCGAGCUAUGGCUCUUUUGACGGCAGAGGUGACUUGGUUACGGUGGUUACUUCAGGAUUUUGGUGUUUCUGUCACUACCCCGACUAUGCUCUUAUCUGACAGUACAGGUGCUAUUAGCAUUGCGCGCGAUCCUGUGAAGCAUGAGCUCACCAAGCAUAUUGGUGUUGAUGCUUUCUAUGUGCGCGCUGCUGUGCAGGAUCAGGUCGUUGCUCUUCAGUAUGUGCCUUCCGAGUUACAGUUGGCGGAUUUCCUGACGAAGGCCCAGACUAGAGCGCAACAUGGCUUUUAUCUCUCCAAACUCAGUGUUGUUCCUCCACCAUGA
rnacentral:rRNA from 1 species